UACGGAGGGUGCAAGCGUUAUCCGGAUUUACUGGUUUUAAAGGGUGCGUAGGCGGGCCCUUAAGUCAGUGGUGAAAGCUCCGAGCUUAACUCGGAAACUGCCAUUGAUACUAUAGGUCUUGAAUUCGGUCGAGGUUGGCGGAAUGUGUCGUGUAGCGGUGAAAUGCUUAGAUAUGACACAGAACACCGAUUGCGAAGGCAGCUAGCUAGACCGACAUUGACGCUGAGGCACGAAAGCGUGGGGAUCAAACAGG
rnacentral:rRNA from 1 species